UUUUUGAAAGUCAUCAAUCUUUUUUUUUUUUUCCUUUCUUUCUGGUAGUGAGGUAGCAAAGAACCUUUAGUAAGAAUCAAAGCCUACAUAAACACUGAAAACAAAACUCAGUUAAGUAAAAUAUUAAAAACUGUAUUCAAUUCCUUAAAAUGUUAUUUCUCAUUUUAUAAAUCAUUCUGUAUAAUUUGUUUCUUUGCAAUGAAAAUAAAGCAACCUUGAAACAACAUACUACAAUACAGUUUGGCCCUAGAACUACACAGGGAUCCGGGUCCAGACCCUUGAGCAGGAAACCUUAGCGUCAGCUCUCCGUAUAUGCAGUACCUCCAUAUCCAGGGUUCUGCACCCAGGGAUUCAACCAACGGCAGAUCGUGUGGUACUUAGUGUUUACUAUUAAAAAAUCCACAUAUAAGUGAACCGUGCAAUUCAAAUUCAUGUUGUUCAAGGCACUCUCAUAUACUCUGGAGAAGGAAAACCAGAAUCACUUUUGAGAUAAGCUGAAAAUGAUCAGAGGAGAAAGAAGUUACUGGUGAAUAUUAGUGACACUCUUCCACUUAUCUAAUGAAAUAAUGUUUAGAGUCACAAAAGAAAGAAUCCAAAUCAGUCUCCCAGAAUUCAUUCACGGGAGUAAAUUCCUAUUAGGCCUAACCUAAGAAAAAAAUAGCAGUUUCAAUAGGUUUUUUAAAAAGCUAAAAAAAAUAAAUAAAUAAAAAGAGUAUGUAAUAUUAUUUGGCUACAGAUUUCGUGAAAUUAUCUUAUUUACAACCAAUAUGAGUAAACAUAGAUUUUUUAGUUACCUCAAAUAUCAUAAAUAUACAAGAUCUUUUUCAGCAGUUACGUAUUUUACUCAUGAAUCCUUAACUAAAGCUGAGCCUACCUGGUAGCUUACAGAUGUCAUCAAAGAGAACAAAUUUAUAUUCUACCAAACAGAAAGCUUAACCUAGAAAUGAAACUCACAGUAAACAUCUGAAAAAGCCUAGUAAGAGCUUCUAUUCUUCAAAUGAAUAGACCCCUUCAUAUAGAGAUAUACACCUACUGUGUAAUGAGAAAGAAUAAUAAAAUUUUAAAUUCUGACUUUGAAGCCAAAUUUUGCACAUAAAGGGAAGAAAAACUAACACUUUUUCAAUAAUUCAUCAAAUUGUCACUGAACACCCACUCUUUCAAGCACCCUAACAGGCCCAAGAUACAAGACUGAAUAAGAUACACAGGUCCCAUGCUCUCACUGGGGAGACAGAGGGUGACCAAGCAGCCCCUGGUGGGCUGCUGUCCAGGAAUUCAGAUCUACAGGAGACACCAAAGCACCACUGGAAUACACUGGCCACGUAUGGCUGAAGUCAGCUCGUUACAGAGCCGAACAGUAGAGAGAUUUUUAUCAGGAUUAAUAAUUAUUACCAUCUAAAUUUUAAAUACCCUCUAGGAAGUUGUGCAGUUUAGAAAAAUCACGGAUUAAAACUACCAAAACUGGGAGUUUCCUGGUGGUCUAGUGGUUGGGACCCAGCCCUUUCACCACUGCAGCUCAGGUACAAUCCCUAGGCUGAGAACUGAGAUUCUACCCCAAACCACUAUGUGCUGCAACCAAAACAAAACAAAACAAAGUCCAAAACCUGGGAAAUGUUUUCUCCGGUUCUUGUAUGUAUGUAUGUAUGUAUGUACGUAUGUGUGUGUGUCUUUUUAGGGCUGCACCCGUGGCAUAUGGAGGUUCCCAAGCCUGGGAAACUCCAUAGGCCUCGGCAGCGGCCCGGGAAAUAGCAAAAAGACAAAAAGACAAAAAAAAAAAAAAAAAAAAAAAAAAAGAUAGGAAAACCGUGAACUCUAAGAAUUCUGACUAAAACAGAAUUAGAAAAGAACUUUUCGUAUGCCUUCUACACUUCUCAAUGGUCAGAAGACAAAAAUCACUUUAAUGCUAAACACAUCUUUAAGUGUUAAACUUCUCAGUUCAAAAUUACUGUAAAGCACCAUAAAAACUUGUCUUUAUGUGCUUUAUAUCUGUACAGUUGAUAAUAUUAGGUAAUUAUUGCUAAUUUUGAAGCUGUGGUGAUAACUGUGAUUGUUUUAAAAGAGUCAAGAUCAGGAGUUCCCAUUGUGGCUCAGCAGUAACAAACCCAACCAGUAUUAAUGAGGAUGCGGGUUCAAUCCCUGCCCUUGCUCAGUGGGUUACAGAUCCUAUGUUGCUGUGGCUGUGGUGUGGGCCUGCAGCGGCAGCUACAAUUUGACCCUUAGCCUGGGAACUUCAAUGUGCUGUAGGUGAGGCCCUAAAAAGAAAAAAAUAAUAAUAAUAAAAAAAAAUAAAAAGCCAGAGUGGUCCAGAUAUAACAUGCUAAAAAGAAGCCUAUUUUAUUCUUUGGAAAAACCCUAAGAUUUAAUAAGCUUUCUUAUGAGUGAAUGUGUAAGCCUACACAUAGUUAAAUUUGCUCUUUAAGACCUCCCAAAUCAGAACAUUUCAAAGCGAAUCAUCAACAGUAUACACAGACACACAUUUACAUGUAUCACACACAGAACAAGUCAGGAGGGUAGAGAGCACAACAUUAACAGCAUUUACACUAAGUAACAGAAUUCUAUCAAUGGUAAUUUUUUAAAAAUGCUUUACAAGUUUUUCAAUAAACCUAUUGCUUUUCUAAUCAGUUACAAAAUUUGAACAAAACAAUAACAAGCAAAACAAUGAAGUUUAGAUUUUUAAAAGUAAAUGCAUAAAAUAAAGAGGUUACAGCCAAGAAAGGGCAAAUGAGACAAGCCAGAUGAACACCUGCCCUUAGAAAACACUGGUCAAGGACAUGGAGACGCCAAAGAAAAGUAUAAGCGUCCUUCAUCUUAUUGUGGAAGAGAAGUCAAACUUCACUUUCUGCUGAGUGGCGAUCCCAUUUACCUACUUGACAUGCACAAUCACGACUACCUUUUCCUCUAAACAGUUUAUUUUUUAAAAUAUUAUAUGCUAAGACUGACAAAACAAGGAUGGCUGCAUUAGGGAAUUUAGGCUUUAGCUAAAAUUAAUACUAUGUGACCAUGUAAGUACUGACCACGUUUUCAAGUGACUGCUCCUGCCUUUGUACUACCUGCUGUGCCUGUUCUGGGACGUCUCCCUUCGUACUUCCCAUUAUCUUUGGUGCAUUUCUCAGGUAACUAGAAGUUAAUAAGUUACUCAAGUCAUUUAGGAAACAGGAAAAAGGUUUUACAAUCUCAGGGUAGAUUGUCCUUCCUUUCAUCCAACUAAGAAGGCCACCUGAACUAUUCCAAGAAGACUGCGGCUCUAUAGCCAGUGGUUCUACUUGAGAAAUGAAACUUCAGAUAUGACUCAUGUGUUGGCAUAAUUUGAAAAUAAAAAUACAAUAAUAAGUUUAAAACUGCACUAUAAACAACCUAAGAGUGAACCCAUCUCUACCUCAGAAUAAAGAUAUUUAGGGAAAAUGCUCCCCCUACCCAUUUUUCAUUCUUCUUGGCUGCCUGUCCUAAGUCCCAAAGGAGCAAGGCAGACAGCACUCUGGGAAAUCAAAGAGCCAUUUGCUUGCCUCCCAUGCUGGCUGGGAGUCUGACAGCACCUCGGAGAGGCAAAAUGUCUCAGUUUGGUAGUAAAACUGCCUUUCUCUGGGUAAGAAGAAUUUAACAAGAAAUAGCUCAAGAUAUAUUACUAAAGUAAACCCUGAAUCACUUUUUUUUUAAUUCAUCACUACUUUUCAGUUUGUGUUCAUAUUUACCUUUUAUCAACACUUUCUAUCCAUCAAAACGUUUUACUUUGCUAUUAUAUAUAAUCUGAACAAGCAUGAAUAAUACCUGCUUUUUGCUCUGAAAUGGAUCCUUUUUAUCCACACUGAUGAAUUUCUGUUAACCUAGUAGUAGGGUUGCUGGUUCAGCAGCAACCAUUCAGAGAAAAAAAAAAAAAGUGGACAUGCUGAAUUCUUCUUUGCCUAGCACUUCAAGACAGAAAAAAACUCCGUAAACUAUAACAAAAACACUGUUGUGAUCACACUGAGAUAUCUGACAAGUCAUGAUCUGCACCUCCUUGACCAAAUUCCACAAUAGAGACUGUAACUGAGCCUGACCCAGUCUGCUUGCCAUCGCCGCCUCUGCCCAUCACUACUCCUCCUUGGGUUUCUUCUUGCAUGGCUUUCAAGAGAGUCACACUUAAAAAAAAAGAAAGAAAGAAAAUUUCCCAUAGCUUUGUUCCUUUUCUCAUUUUUAAAAUUCUCUUAUCUCUAAAUAGACGCACUAUACUUUUGGGCUGUCCCUUGUCUCUUGGUGAAUUCAUGUAAUCUCAUAUUGCUAUUCUUUGUCUUUAAUUUAAUGCCCACGCUAAUUUAUACUUUCGGUCCUCUCUUCUUUCCUGAGAGCUAAGUCCACAUUCUUACCAGGGUUAAGGAGAAGACAAAGACGACUCCCAGGUAUUUAUAUACCAUUUUGCUUUCUUUUAAAAGAAUUCCAUUAGCUUGACUGCAUGUCUUUCUAUGGCAUGUAGUUAAAUCCAAAAGUUAAAAGAAAGGCUUAUGACAGCAUAUAUAAUGACAGGAGCAAAAAAUGAAUGUGGACACUGAGAACCACAAUCAUAGAAAGUAAAACUAAAAACUUAGCAGUUUAGGACCUUUUGAAAUACAAGCAUUAAAAAAAAAAAAAAGAUUUCUUUAGUGCAGUGAGAAUUAAUUAUAUAAACUAUAUAACCGCACUUUCAUAACCCUUAGACACACAUAACUAUUUAUAUUUCAAUUAAACAAAAUUUUAAAUUUCAUUCUUCAGCCACAAAAGCCCCUUUGCAGGUGCUCAAGAGCCACAUGUAGCUAGUGGCUACCUCACUGGACAGCACAGAUAAAAGAAUAUUUCGAUUACUGCAGAAAGCUCUACUGGACAAAGCUGCAGUGCCGAUUCCACAGUCACUGAGCAUUUUCUAUAUCAUAGGCACAGAGCUAGGAAGAGGGGCAAAGAAAGAUGAGUCGGGUAAGGCCUCUCUCUGCCCUCAAAGAGCACAGAGUUUGUCUAGCGGAUGAAAUAGAAAAUAUUUACAAGGGCUAGAGCAGAGGUAAUGACAUUUACGGGAGAGUAAACUGAUUAAGAGCCAGUUCUGUAUUCCAGACCAAUCAGCUAGGAUCCCAUCCCUUUCCCCGAGCUUGUCUGUGGACCAGGCCUUCAUCUGGUGUUAUGAUGAUGCAGCCAGUAAUGCUGAGACUCAUCACUACCUAGCAACCUCUGGGUUCAGCAGAACCAGGGAUGCUGAGACAAGAACAGGAUUUGCGUUAGCUCUGUCCCUCUGGACUCGGUGCUUCAGGCUGCACGCAACUCCUGAAGGAAAAAGCCAUCCUGUCACUCUGGCUAUUCUCCCUUGGUCCCUCCUAGGGGACAGCUUGGUCUCAACUGACCCUUCAUUAUGGAGUUCCCAGCAUGUGCUAUACGUAGAGUGAUAAAGUGCCUGACCAAGUAAGUAAUUAAGGCAUUACCAAGGAAUUAACACUGCCACUGAGAACAAGUCUUCACUACAAAUGGCGCCAGAAGGGAGGAGAAGGUGCCUCUAAGCAGAAAGGAAGGCUCAGCAAGGAUGAAAGAGAGAAGCAUAAAUGUAACAGAAAGAUCUCCAGGCAAGCAGAGGGUUUGCUACAACCCAAACACAGGCCAAAGGGCAACAGCAGGAGGCGAGGCUGGAUGGAAGCCCAAGUGCUAAGAGCCUUACUGCCACCACCUAAGGAGCUUGGCCUGGAUUGGCCUGUAAGCAACGGCCAACCACGAUUAAGCAGAAGAGUCAAAUGAUGAAAUCUGUGUCUUCAAAAGACCCACGUUGGAAAGGGUGAAAGGCAGAUAAACAGUAGUGAAGAGGCAAGGUACCUGGAUGAAGACUUGGUAGAAGGGGAGUGGAGAUAAAGAACAGGAAAUGGAUUCAAGAGACAUUAGAGACGACUGACUGGCUCUGACCACUGACAGGACCCAUCUGGCACACUAGCAGCCAAUAAAUGUUUGUUAUACCAAUUAGUGAGCAGGAUAAUGAUCACUUAGAUCACAAAGGACAGAAAACAAAAACCACGAGAAACACAAAAAUUCAAGCCAAGGACAAAAGACAGCUAGAGAAACUGAAAGGGAACAAAGACACCAAAUGAAGCCAUACUCCUCCACCUGGCAGUGACUCCGCAAGAUACCUGGAUGGCUGGCAUUUCCUACAGACCCUUACACGGCCAGCAUCUUAGUGUGCUCUCCCCUGACGGCACUACUUAAAACUUAACAACCCAGGCAUCCCUCCCAGCACCCUCCAAGCCCCUCCCCUGCUUUAUUUGUCUCUGUCCUACUUACCAACAUCUAAGAUACUAUAUACUUUCCUUAUUUAUUGUGUUUAAAGUCUCUACUUAAAUGUAAGCUCCAUCAGGGGAGGAAUUUUGUCUGCUUCACUCACCAUUGUACACUAGAGCCUAAAAAAGUGCCUGGCAUAUAGCACGUGCUCAACAAAUACUUGCUGAUUGACUGACUGAAUAAUGCAGAGAAAUAAAAAGAGUAGGACUGUUAUGUGUAGAUUAAUAAGUAUGAAAAUGAAAUGGUAUCUAACUUGGAAAUUCUAUUAAUUAUAGUGAAGGAUAAAAAUAAAAAUCUAUACAACCGUCCUUUAAAUAAAUGCAAAAGGCUCAAAAACGUUUUCUUAGAAUAUGCAUUUUUAUAUAUAUUCAAAUACAACAAACAUAUAACAAAGUUGUAACAAUUAUAACGAAUAUUUUCUAUUUAGUCACAAAGGAAUGAAGUUUUACUGCUUGAAAAAUCGCUGCAAUACUUGAUAGCGACAUUGCAAACCCACCACUUCAAGUAUUUAAAUUCUAUUAAUACCUUUCCAACUUCCAUUAUAAGUUUCUAACUUUCUUUCUGAAAUUGUGGCUAUUUUAAAAUGUUAAAAAAAACCUAAGAAGUGAAAGUUGAAAUACCAGAAUGUUAGUAAAAUAAUAGUCAUUGGCUUUAAGAUACAGUGAAGAGGCUAUGACAUUAAAACGUAAAGAAUGGUCAAAAAGUUAGAAAUUCAAAAAUAUCCAAGAACACAAAAAAGCCCACCUAGCUGGCUGGCUUCGGGAAAAUGAGCAAAUAUCAUUAAGGCUCACUUUCCUCACCAAUAAAAUGCAGCUAACACUAGCACCUACCUACCUGAUAAGCUUAUUCUGAGAGGGUUUUCUGGAGGAUUAAAUCUGUUUCAGGUCAUCAGCUUGGCACAAUGCCUCUAAUCGUCAUUUCUUUCUUUAACCCAGAAAUAUUUACGAAGAACCUACCAUACAAAAGGCACCACACUUACUGGCUACAGUGGCAAAUGAGACAGACACUCCUGCUUCAGAGAAUCUAUGACAACCACAACAAGUCUGAAGACAGAUGAAUUACCAAGUGUGACAGGUGCUACAGAGGAAGCCUAUAGGGUGGCUUCUGGUCAGAAAUCAGGGAAGUGAGGGAAUUCAGCUUUCGAUGUGGUCAGGAAAAGUGUCUCCGAGGACAGGAAAGCUGAGACGCUCGUUCCCCACGCACAGAGGGCACCGGAUGAGGGUGUGGGUGAGGAGACUGACGUGUGCAAAGGCUGGGGCCUGUCUGAGGAGCUGAGGGGACCCGGUGCACCUGACGCCCAGGAAGCCACUCGCAGAGCCAGGCAAGAGCUGGAUGACGCUGGACUCAGAAGGAAAACCACAGGAAUUUGCGAUUUUAUUCUAUGGGAAUUUAUUCUUCAGUGGAAAGCUGCUGAGGUUUUCUGUUUUUUUCAGAGGGAAAGAUAACCCAAUUUAUGUCUCAUAAAAAUCACUCAGGCUAUUUUUGCAAAAUGUCUUACAGGGGAAUGUGAAUGGAAGCAGAAAAUUAGUGCUAAGACUAAAGCCCCAUCCAGGAGAGAGAGACGGUACCUGCAAUAGGGUGGGAGCAUGGAGAUGAUGAGAACUUGAUGGGUUCCAGACAGAGUUCGAAAUGGCGGGAUUCGGGGGAUGAGGGAAGGGAGAAAUCACAUAUGACUCCUAGAUGUCUGACUUAGGCAAAUGCUCGGCUAAGUAACGCAGUAAAGUAUUUGAUUAAUUUUAGCUAUUCUUAGCUACCCUUAGGACUGAAGAGAAAGAAAAACUGGUGAUCCUACAUCCAAAAUAGUAAAAACAAAAACAAAAAAGAAAGAAACUAAAGUACAAAUAGGAAAGGCGACUGGGUCAAGCGAUGAGGGAAUAGCAGUAGCAGACCACCUUUCCCACUGAAAACAACCAUGAAAGUGAGGUGAAACACCAAACCAACACACUGAGUUAUCUGAAGGCUCAGAGAGAACAACCAGGAGAGCCAGGACAUCAGGAACCUAGAGAAGGGGAUGCAGAGAAAGAGGCCGUUUCCCCUUGGGAUACCUGCCCAUUACAGGGCACCCAGGCCAAGCAGAAAGCAGUAGCCCUGAGCUUGUAUCACUCUCAUUGGGCUGGGAAGACAAAAACUGGAGUUCUGUACUACUAAGGUAGCCAGGAAUUGAGGCUCCCAGCUAAAAAGGAACCACGAAAAACAAGCCCAUCAUUCUGCUCAAUUUUGGCCCUCAGGAAUAUGCUGAAUCAUAAACAACAUGGACUGAAAUGCAGGAAAACUCAUCAAAAAAAUGCUGCAAAGAGGCUAGAAAACUAAGCCGAGCUCUGAUCAGCCUCACAAUACUUAAAAUUCAGGGCUUGCCAAGGAAGAGGCAUCUUGGUAAAUACGCCAGACUUUUAAUAAACGAGCCUUCAGAAGGGCUAUGCACUAGGAGGUUAUUUGAAUUUCCUGAUUACCCUGAAUCCAGGCUUACGUC
rnacentral:lncRNA from 1 species